rnacentral:rRNA from 1 species
AUUGAACGCUGGCGGCAGGCCUAACACAUGCAAGUCGAACGGUAACAGGAAACAGCUUGCUGUUUCGCUGACGAGUGGCGGACGGGUGAGUAAUGUCUGGGAAACUGCCUGAUGGAGGGGGAUAACUACUGGAAACGGUAGCUAAUACCGCAUAACGUCGCAAGACCAAAGAGGGGGACCUUCGGGCCUCUUGCCAUCGGAUGUGCCCAGAUGGGAUUAGCUAGUAGGUGGGGUAACGGCUCACCUAGGCGACGAUCCCUAGCUGGUCUGAGAGGAUGACCAGCCACACUGGAACUGAGACACGGUCCAGACUCCUACGGGAGGCAGCAGUGGGGAAUAUUGCACAAUGGGCGCAAGCCUGAUGCAGCCAUGCCGCGUGUAUGAAGGAGGCCUUCGGGUUGUAAAGUACUUUCAGCGGGGAUGAAGGGAGUAAAGUUAAUACCUUUGCUCAUUGACGUUACCCGCAGAAGAAGCACCGGCUAACUCCGUG